rnacentral:rRNA from 1 species
UACGUAGGGGGCAAGCGUUGUCCGGAAUCAUUGGGCGUAAAGCGCGUGUAGGCGGUCCGGUAAGUCCGCUGUGAAAGUCGGGGGCUUAACCCGCGGAUGCCGGUGGAUACUGUCGGGCUUGAGUACGGAAGAGGCGAGUGGAAUUCCUGGUGUAGCGGUGAAAUGCGCAGAUAUCAGGAGGAACACCAAUUGCGAAGGCAGCUCGCUGGGACGUUACUGACGCUGAGACGCGAAAGCGUGGGGAGCAAACAGG